rnacentral:lncRNA from 1 species
CCAAUUCCUUGGCCAUCUCCUUGAUUGCUAUUAUGCCCUUGAUCCAUCUUUCAAGUUACAAACUAUCUAAGCCUCCAAUAACAUAAAAAACAUAAGUUAGAAAUUUGCUUUCAUCACUUAAAUAUAAUGAAAUCAUUUAACAAUAUAAAAUCUAAACACUCUAGCUUAGCAACUUUUACCUUUUUGUCAAUCAGUGAUAAACUCAACUUCCUCCUUAUCUACAAGUACUAAGCUGAAAUAGAAAUAAAAACAUAAGAAAAAAUGUUUUAAGAUAAGAAAUAACAAACAAACUAAUUAAACAAUAGUAAAUAAUGAGUAGAUGCGUUCUAUUCAUCAUAGACUAUUAACAAAAAUAAAAAAUACACUUUUGAAUACCAGAAUAUAGUCCAAAAUAUUGUUUACUUCUUUCAUCAGUGCAAAAUCAUAAGAAAUAACAAUAUUGCUUCUAAAAAGUCCUAAAUCGAAGAAAGACAAAAUCAAAACCCUAACUUUUACUUUUGAUCAAUCGGUGACUAACUUCAUCUUUUCAAAACGAACUUGAAUGAUAGAAGCAAAUAGAGUGAGACGAUAAACCUAGAUCAUAAGAAAAAAA